rnacentral:misc_RNA from 1 species
AAACAAUCUCUGGCAAGGUUUCUGUUGAGUUUCGGUCCACCACCUUCAUCUCCGCCUCCACCUCCAUCUCCUUCAAUUGCCCACGACCUUAAAGGCCUCAGGUCCUCCAAUACCCAACACCACUGCAACAGAAGAAACCCAUCACACAAGGAAGGAAGCAAGAACAUAAAAGGACCAAAACCCUUUCUGUACUACCACCACAGGCC